rnacentral:rRNA from 1 species
AGAUUGAACGCUGGCGGCAUGCCUUACACAUGCAAGUCGAACGGUAGAGUAGCAAUACUUGAGAGUGGCGAACGGGUGAGUAAUAUAUCGGAACGUGCCCAGUCGUGGGGGAUAACGUAGAGAAAUUUACGCUAAUACCGCAUACGAUCUAAGGAUGAAAGCGGGGACCGUAAGGCCUCGCGCGAUUGGAGCGGCUGAUAUCAGAUUAGGUUGUUGGUGAGGUAAAAGCUCACCAAGCCGACGAUCUGUAGCUGGUUUGAGAGAACGACCAGCCACACUGGGACUGAGACACGGCCCAGACCUCCGUACGGGAGGCAGCGAGGUCGGGGUAAGUUUUGGAACGUAACGGGG